UACGGGGGGGGCAAGCGUUGUUCGGAAUUACUGGGCGUAAAGGGCUCGUAGGCGGCCAACUAAGUCAGACGUGAAAUCCCUCGGCUUAACCGGGGAACUGCGUCUGAUACUGGAUGGCUUGAGUUCGGGAGAGGGAUGCGGAAUUCCAGGUGUAGCGGUGAAAUGCGUAGAUAUCUGGAGGAACACCGGUGGCGAAGGCGGCAUCCUGGACCGAUACUGACGCUGAGGAGCGAAAGCUAGGGGGAGCAAACGGGG
rnacentral:rRNA from 1 species